UUGCUGGAAACGUCAUCUCCUGAUGCCAAUAAAAAGUGAAGAAUGCUUGGAUCUUGCUCGUUCAUGUACUCCUCGUGAAAUAGCAACUCUUCUUGCUCUACCAUUCUCUUGCAGAUGGCAAUCAAAUCAUCGAGGGUAUCAUUGAUCAACUUAAGGGAUUCAUUGACCUUCUUGAAUCGUGGAGAAAUAUCUUUCCAUAUCGGGAUUUCCCAAGUCGGUAUGGGAGAAGUACUCCUCAUCUCCGCCUCCCGUAAGACGGUGUAAACUGCCUCGACAAUCCCAUUAUCAUGGGAUAGAGAAUCAAAUUCAUAAUUGAAAACUGCCUUGCCAAUAACAUCCAGUGUUAGCCUGGAGAAGAGUGACUCCAUCUCCACAUCCUCUCCGUCCGCCGCCGCGGAAUCCAACUUCUCACAAAGCCUGUAUGCAGCUUUUCCAAAGAGACCAAUCAUGGCUGACACAUACUUCUUGUGCAUUGCCGGGACGAUAGCCCGUCGCCGAGUACGCCAUAUCUCGCCGUCAGCUGGGAUCAAACCCGUUCCCAUCACAAACUCGAGAAUUUCAGCUAGAACACCCUUAGAAUAAGCCUUUGAAUUAUCUCUGAGAAUGUGUUUCGCCACAGCAGGAUCCGAAACAAUGAGGAAUGACUUAGGGCCGAAAGUGAGGCGAAAAACGCCGCCGUAUCUGAGAAACAGUUCGUAGAGGGGGAGGAAGAAAGCCUGCUCGCCAACGGCACGGAUCGACCCCUUAGCCUGUGGAAUCUCCGGCCCCUCCCUCGACGGAGACAGAAGCUCCGCCAGAAACCUCCCGGGCGCCCCGAGCACCGAGAGCAGAGAAGCAAACCCGGAUUGCUCGUCGGUGAACUCGCCGGAGGCGAUGCGGGCGGCGAGAUCGGCGCGGCGCUUCUCCUCGGAGAUCCUAUCUCUUUCGUCGCCCCCAGGGGGAGCGCCGUUGGAGGAAGCAGAGCAGAGGAGGGGGCGGCGGGGAGAAAAGGUGAGGGGGGCAGGGCAGUGGAGGCGGGUCUUCGGAGGGA
rnacentral:misc_RNA from 1 species